rnacentral:ncRNA from 1 species
AGAAACGCAUUGAAGAGAAGAGUACUGAUCGGAAAUUUUAAAGAGAGAGAUACAUUUUGGUGUGAGUAUCUUAAAAUGGAACUUCAGGAAGACCAUCUCUGAGCGGCCCUAAUCCGGUCCGGUGAUUCCGUUAUCAUCAAAAUGAGUGAUUUUCCACAUGGAGAUAAACGGGGUGGAACCGCGGAUAAAAAUGUUUAUUCGUCCCUUAU